CGGGUGGACAUUAGGACCCAGGAGGCCAGGAGUCGGCUGCCUUCUCCCGACGGAGAGUAUUUCCGGGGCAGCACUCAGGAACGGCUUAUAAGGCCCGGUGAGGAGGCGUUCCUGAGUGUUGUUCAUCCGGUGUGCAAACGGAGCCAAACGGAGACACGAAGGGAGCGCGGGAAAAAGUUCAGGUAGUGCAGAAAUCCUCUCUUCUAAAAUAUACUAAGUCCGCACACUGACAUUAAAUCUGCACAGGCUGUCAAUCAGGCCAGACGUGCUGCUUGCGUGGGCUCCCCCUCCCAUCUCAUCAUAAUUGCCCUUCAGGAGCGACGCAGGUGAAGCAGUGGCACUGAUGCAAGACCCUUGUGAGAUAGUGUAACCGCUUGGGAACCCGCAACCACAGACGGGGCUGUGUGGAGGAAGGGAAAUUUAAAUGAAAGGAUCGCAGUCAUUAAGAAAUGGACCAGAAUGGCUCUUUAAGUGUUGAAGGUUGCAGACCCCUGCACUAGAGAAAGGACCAGAUAAAAUAGAAGGAAACAUCAAAGAGAGAACAGAAGCAUGAAGGAAGCUGAAGACUGCAGAGCGACUGUUUACCACUUCAAGAUGGCGGGCCAGAAUCCUCUGAUGGUGAAUUAGGUCCAUUUUAACUUGGAUCAGAAUGUUCUGGAACAAGAAGGCUCACCUCUAAGCUAGAAAUAAACAUACCUUUAGUGUGGAGCUGGAACUGUGGUUUCCACGUGACAUCCAGCAGUCUGCGCUGACGACAGAGCUCCUCUUCGUACUGGACGAUGGUUCUUUCACAGUGUCGGAAGAUUUCCACAGCAGCAGCAGCGAGUCGCUCGCUGAUGAACUCUCUCAGACACUGAAGUGAAGACAUGCUUAUUGCUCAAACUCAUACAAACACCAGCGUCUUCUUCACUGCAGCUCCGAUCAUCUGCUAGUCUCACAAUCACAGUCACGUUGUUUUUACAGUGAAUACUUAUUCACUCAUUUAUGACACUUAGCAGAGAAAAAAUAUUUUAAUGUAAAUAUGCUGCUUAAAAAUUGUGGUGUUUUGCUUUCCUGAAGACGCUGUGUUAAAUAUGCUUUAAACUCAGCAGGAUUGGGUAUAGAUUAAUGUUGGGCGGUAGAUCAUGACCAUCAGAGGCUUUAAGCUACUUCAAUCACAUACGGACAUUUUCCAGUCUUUGUGUCACAUCCAUAUCUGAUAAUGUGUGGAAAAUCCAUCAUGUAAUUUCAUUUCUUGGUUGUUAAAGGAUUAAAAGACUGUUUCCGUAGUUUA